CUGUGGAGUCACCCACACUGGAGAUAUUCAAGAAACAUCUGGACACAAUCCUGUCCCAUGUACUCUAUGAUGACCCUGCUUGAGCAGGGAGCUUUGACCAAAUGACCCAAGUGUGGACCUUUCUAUCCUGACCCAUUCUGUGAUUUAGCAGUAAGAUCAGACACCGAAGUAUCUUUGAUUUGGACCACAGAUCUAUUUUCUUGGGACAUCUAAUCUCAGAAUUUGGAUCAGCUUUAAAUUAAUCAGGACAUGAUUCACAUCCAGUAGGAGUCUGUACAGCACCAGAACUACAAAAUUAAGGUGGUUUAUCCAUGUCAACUACCUCUGCCCACUUUAAAGCCAAAGGAGGCAUUAGAAGUCAGACUAUCCUGAUUUUCAAGCUGCUUUCAUUUGCGUGAGUUGCUCAUACUAGAAGGAAGAAGAAAAUGAACAUUAUCACCUUGAAAAAAGCCCAGAUAUUACCAAUCAU